UACGUAGGGGGCAAGCGUUGUCCGGAGUUACUGGGCGUAAAGCGUGCGUAGGCGGUGUCUUAAGUUUGUUGUGAAAUCUCCCGGCUUAACCGGGAGGGUGCGGCGAAUACUGAGAUGCUGGAGUGCGGGAGAGGUAAGCGGAAUUCCUGGUGUAGCGGUGAAAUGCGUAGAUAUCAGGAGGAACACCUGCGGUGUAGACGGCUUACUGGACCGUAACUGACGCUGAGGCACGAAAGCGUGGGUAGCAAACAGG
rnacentral:rRNA from 1 species